AUUGUAGGCUGAAACUCGCCCUACAUGAAGCUGGAGUUACUAGUAAUCGCAGAUCAGAAUGCUGCGGUGAAUGCGUUUCCGGGUCUUGUACACACCGCCCGUCACACCACGGAAGUUGGGGGCGCCCGAAGCCACUUAGCUAACCCUUUUGGGAAGCGAGUGUCGAAGGUGAAAUCAAUAACUGGGGUGAAGUCGUAACAAGGUAAC
rnacentral:rRNA from 1 species